CGGCCCGACAAGUCACUCCUUAAAGACCCCGGCUCAACCGGGGGAAUGGGGGUGAUACUGUCGGGCUAAGGGGCGGGAGAGGCCAGCGGUACUCCCGGAGUAGGGGCGAAAUCCUCAGAUCUCGGGAGGACCACCAGUGGCGAAAGCGGCUGGCUAGAACGCGCCCGACGGUGAGGGGCGAAAGCCGGGGCAGCAAAAGGGAUUAGAUACCCGGGUAGUCCCAGCCGUAAACGAUGCAGGCUAGGUGUUAACGCGGCUACGGGCCGCGUUGGUGCCGCAGGGAAGCCCGUUAAGCCCUGCCGCCUGGGGGA
rnacentral:rRNA from 1 species